UACGUAGGGUGCAAGCGUUGUCCGGAAUCAUUGGGCGUAAAGCGCGCGUAGGUGGCUUCGUAAGUCCGUUGUGAAAGUCAAAGGCUCAACCUUUGAAUGCCGAUGGAUACUGCGAAGCUAGAGUCCGGAAGAGGAGAGUGGAAUUCCCGGUGUAGCGGUGAAAUGCGCAGAUAUCGGGAAGAACACCUAUGGCGAAGGCAGCUCUCUGGGACGGUACUGACGCUGAGACGCGAAAGCGUGGGGAGCGAACAGG
rnacentral:rRNA from 1 species